CUCCCUCGCACAAAAAAAAAACCCUCCUCUCAAUGCGGCGCUGCCCCCAUCUCUCGCUCCGCCGCCACCGCUGCUGCCUCCCUCCCGCUCAGCCACCUCCACCGCUCCCACCCUUCUCCCUAUUGUUGGAUCCGCUUGCAUAUCGUCAAGGUUAGGCGGCGAAGCUCCACGUCCGCGAUGCGCACAUGCUUGUCAAGGAAGCGGCUCCCGGAUCUAAGGUCGCGGGGCCGUGACGGAAGGAGCUCGAGGUGGCCGCUGAAGACCAAGCCCCCACCAUGUGGCGUCGAGAACGGCCGGCGGCAUGGUAGGAUGGAGGAGAACGGCCUGGAGUUCGUGCUCGAUCUGGUGGUCAGGUAAGCUCUUUUUGUCCGCCGCCCCUCUGUUGAUUUUUGCAAACCUUUCGUUGUACUCCGGCGCCCGCAGGUUCCCACUUCGGGAAGAGUUCGCCGAUAACCUUAAGCACUCUGAUCCGGUGCCGCUAAGGCUGCCACCCAGGGGGAGGCUAGCGCUCUUGGCAUGGAGGAUUCAAUUGGUGAAUCUGGCUGUGCCCUGAUGUUAAUCGGGAGGCACUUGGAUGGACGAAAAGGGUGGUGUCGUGAGGACAAACCUUGAGAUCGAGAGACAUGCGAGCAAGCUGUACACAAGAGCCAUGGUUGAGCAGUUUGGCGAACGGUUGUUCGAGGCUACUACCUACAAGGUCACUGAGCUUGAGAAAGGUCGAGGGUACCUGACAACAUACAAUAAUGCUUCAAAGCGAGAGAGAUGGAGCAGGGUGGUGUAAGAGGUCAUGAUUGAGGACGGAGGUUCUGAAUUCGAGUGCGAAUGUGGGCAUUUUGAAUACACAGAUAUGCUAUGUUGCCAUGUGCUUAGUGGAGGAUAGUGGCAUGUUGUGCACUAUGUUUGCGAAUUAACAGGACUGUACCUCUGGUCACGGCUGAGAAGGGUAAGACUAAGAUUGCAAUGUGAGCUGUGAUUGAUAUGUAGAAGCCUGGAAGAUGCAAUAACUGCAGCCUCGUAGGUGACUGCCGGUACACCUGCACCAUACCUAGGCCUCUUGGAGCAUUUGAAAUCCCUGUAAGACUUAGGAUUUUCUGGUGUGUUUCAGUGAGCAUUUGCUCCAUGCCUGUUCCUCUUAUUCAAGAUGGCAGACUUGUUGAAAAGGUUGAGUUUACUUUCUUGUUGUAGUUCAAUAAAUUGGUUGGGUUUACAUUUCGGAAGCUUUAAAAUCUGAAGUUUUGCAAGUACUUGAUUGACAUUUCUGCUGGAUUACCAUUCUGAACAGCUGCCUGACAGGGUCAAGUAUGCCGUUGACGGAUACUUCAAGUUUUGGAUUUGCAGUGAGCGCUUGGAGCAGCAACCUGAUGCCAGAUGAAGAAAGCCACGAUGCCGACGAGUGACCUUCAAUGUUGCAUAUGCAUUGCUAUAAGACUGUAUCUGAAUGCCCGUACAUUGAACAGCAAUGACAGUUUUUGUCUUCUGGCCUAUGAAAGCUCCGUCUAAGGAAGGCUGACUCAAGGAUCCAUGCCCUUGAUUCUUGCUCCGAAAGUGGACCUGAAAAAACUACAAGUUCGACGAUUGCGCGAGGAACACAAUGGGUUUUCUCUGAAUCAUCUGAAGAAGCGGAGGCGACGACUGGUGGCUGUUCUCUUUACACUUGGCGUGGUUGAGAGGCUAGGGAGCAGGCAAUUUUACUAUUUGGUCAAUGAUGGAGAUGAAUUCGGGAGAGAUGUGGACGGGAGUUGUACAUGUAAUUUUUCUAUCCUCUCUAUGUUACCCAUUUGCACUAAUCGGUAACUGUUCUUUGAGCAGGGAAUAGUGUAGCGUACACGAACAGAAAAAUUGUAGAAGGCGAGUAGGACAAUCUGAGCUACAAACAUAAUGUUUUUUAGUGAACGGCCAACAUUAUGUUGAGUAUUGAGAUGUAGAUCCACCUUCACCUUCACCGACAUCACACGCUCCUCUGUGACCUCCCAUCAAUGAUGCCCAGCUACUUCGCCAACAACAUCGAGGAGCUCGUGUGUGAUAGCUACUGCCCUGCUUAGAGAACUUUCCAAUGCCCCAUGCGUACGAAGUCGAUGAGUCCAAGAAGAAGAGAGAAGACACCCACACGGCUGCUCAAGGAAAUACACCAGCUUGAGCGAUGUUAGAUUAAAGUUUCUUCAUUCUUCGCUAGGUUUUCUUGUGUCGUUAGUAACUUCAGAUAAGUAUCAUACUCUGCCCGCAACAUGUAAGGGAAACCUAAAAGGGAAAAAACUAGUCAAACAUAGGAUCGCUCUUGGGUGGUAGAGGAUCUCCAAGAGUCUCAACAGGCAAAUUGUGUUU